AUGAAGUUUACGGUUGCUAUCGGUCUUAUUCUUUCUUAUCCACAAGUUUACGAUUUCGACUUAGUGUCGGUUCUGUAUUUUUCUGGUUCAAUUCAGAGUUUUACGGUUUGGUUCCAUGGUUCAGGAUUUCGUUUCAGACGUAUAGAACUUCAAUGGAGAGUGCGGGAAUCUCAAUUACCAUUGGAAGAGCUGGAAGUGAUGAGUCGAAUAUGUAUUGAUGCUUAUGAAACUAAUGAUGAAAAGGACAUGCUCAGUAGAAGUUGUUAUUCGCUGAAAUUGAAUAUAUGCAGAAGAGGCUAUCAAGAAGAGGAUGGAAAAAGAUAUCGAUGA